GAUGAACGCUGGCGGCGUGCCUAAUACAUGCAAGUCGAGCGAACAGACGAGGAGCUUGCUCCUCUGACGUUAGCGGCGGACGGGUGAGUAACACGUGGAUAACCUACCUAUAAGACUGGGAUAACUUCGGGAAACCGGAGCUAAUACCGGAUAAUAUAUUGAACCGCAUGGUUCAAUAGUGAAAGACGGUUUUGCUGUCACUUAUAGAUGGAUCCGCGCCGCAUUAGCUAGUUGGUAAGGUAACGGCUUACCAAGGCGACGAUGCGUAGCCGACCUGAGAGGGUGAUCGGCCACACUGGAACUGAGACACGGUCCAGACUCCUACGGGAGGCAGCAGUAGGGAAUCUUCCGCAAUGGGCGAAAGCUUGACGGAGCAACGCCGCGUGAGUGAUGAAGGUCUUCGGAUCGUAAAACUCUGUUAUUAGGGAAAAACAAAUGUGUAAGUAACUAUGCACGUCUUGACGGUACCUAAUCAGAAAGCCACGGCUAACUACGUG
rnacentral:rRNA from 1 species